AGGAAUUGGAGUUUGCGCCUGCGCAAAAGUGUCAGGAAAGCAGGAGAAGGGAGGUUCAGAGGCGGUAUUGACAGCUGCGGCGGCAGCCCGCGUUCCCGGCAUGCCCUGGGGCGGCGGGGUUGGCUCUAACGAAUUUGAAUGAGGAGCCUCAGCGCUUUCGGCGCCAUUUUCGAGUGAUGCCUGAUCUCAUCAAUCUAGCGGGAGAGACGGGAUAACCUGUCCGAGUACAGUGCCACUAGGACUCCGCCAGAAAAAAAUCACUAAAAAAUUCGUCAAAAUUCUCUUGGACCAAAGGGCAGUCGGCGGUGCUUCGCCAAGGUUGGCGCAGUCGGUUUUGACCUUUAGGAGAGAGCCAAUUCUGGAGAACAACCUAACUUCUUUGAUUGAAUACUCACAUAAUAUGCUGGAACAUGGUAGGAGAUUAAGGUUUCAUAAUGAUAAAAUGAAGACCACAAUAAAACAGCCCCCUACUUAGCCCAGCAGUUCUUACCUUUCUGACCUACUUGAUGAAGAUGUCUUUUGAAAGGCAUACUGCCAGGAACAAAAUGUUUGUAAAUUCUGCUUUUACCAAGGUAAACAAUUACUAUUCCUUCCUCAUGGAAAAAGUUUUUUCUAAAUGUUAUUUUUCAUUGAAUAUUAUCAAAAAGGAGAAAAAUUAAUGUUCUAAACUUUUGAGAUAGAUUUGUCUCUAAAUUUGAUCCAUUCAGAAUGUAAAUAAAAAUGAGUGGAGCAGCGCUGGAAGCGAAGCGCUGAGCGAGCUCGGCACGAGGCAGCCUCUCCCCUCGCCCGCCACCCGUCCCCAGAGAACCGUGGCAUCUGGCAGCGCUGCGGGCAGUGAGGAGGAGCGCAGCCUCUGGGAAUGUGAGCUCUAUGUCCAGAAGCACAACAUUCAGGCACUGCUCAAGGAUUCUAUUGUGCAGUUGUGCACUGCCCGACCAGAGAGACCUAUGGCAUUCCUCAGGGAAUACUUUGAGAGGUUGGAGAAGGAGGAGGCAAAACAGAUUCAAAAUCUGCAGAAAGCAGGCACUUAUGCAGACUCAAGGGAGGAUGAAAUCCUAACUCCUCCACUCAACCCAGUGGUUAAGGGUCCGGGGCGACUAGGUGCUAUCAGCGCUGAAGUCUACACAGAGGAAGAUGCUGCUUCAUAUGUUAGAAAGGUCAUACCAAAAGACAAUGGCUGCUUUAGCCAAAGCUAUUGAAAAGAAUGUGCUGUUUUCACAUCUUGAUGAUAAUGAGAGAAGUGAUAUUUUUGAUGCCAUGUUUCCAGUUUCCUUCAUUGCUGGAGAAACUUAUUCAGCAAGGUGAUGAAAGGGAUAACUUCUAUGUGAUUGAUCAAGGAGAGAUGGAUGUCUAUGUCAACAAUGAAUGGGCGACCAGUGUUGGAGAAGGUGGGAGCUUUGGAGAACUUGCUUUGAUUUAUGGAACACCUAGAGCAGCUACUGUCAAAGCAAAGACAAAUGUGAAAUUGUGGAGUAUUGACUGAGACAGCUAGCUAUAGAAGAAUCCUUACGGGAAGCACAUUGAGGAAGCGGAAAAUGUAUGAGUUGUUCCUUAGUAAAGUGUCUAUUUUAGAAUCUUUGGACAAGUGGGAACGUCUUACGGUAGCUGAUGCAUUGGAACCAGUCCAGUUUGAAGAUGGGCAGAAGAUUAUGGUGCAGGGAAAACUAGGGGAUGAGUUCUUCAUUAUUUUAGAGGGGUCAGCUGCUAUACUACAACGUUGGUCAGAAAAUGAAGAGUUUGUUGAAGUGGGAAGAUUGGGGCCUUCUGAUUAUUUUGGUGAAAUUGCGCUACUGAUGAAUUGUCCUCGAGCUGCCACGGUGGUUGCGCGUGGCCCCUUGAAGUGCGUUAAGCUGGACUGACCUAGAUUUGAACGUGUUCUUGGCCCAUGCUCAGACAUCCUCAAACGAAACAUCCAGCAGUACAACAGUUUCGUGUCACUGUAUGUCUGAAAUCUGCCUCCUGUGCCUCCCUUUUCUCCUCUCCCCAGUCCAUGCUUCACUCAUGCAGACUGCUUUAUUUUCCCUAUUGCAGCACCAAAUGGCCACUGGCAUUGCAGCUUCUUGUCUGUUUAUAGUAAAAGUUGCUUUUAUUGCACUGUUUUUAAUUUGGAGCAUUAACCGAAUGCUCGUACACAGUUAAAUAAAUAGAAAGAGUUCUAUAGAAACUUUGCUGUUAUUGCUUCUCUUUGUGCAGUGUUAGUGUUCCACCUGGGCAGUGAGUGCCAUGCUUUUUAAGGUGAGGGCAGAUCCCAGCGCCAAAUGCAUUACCAUAGAGUAAUGAUAUAACCGUGCAAGAUUUUUUUUUAAGUGACAUAAUUUUCCAGUUAUAAGCAUAUUUAGACUGUGGCCAUAUAUGCGGUAUUUCUUUGUAGAAUAAAUGAUUUCUCAUGAAGCUCUAAGGAUUAGGAAAAAUGGAUAUAGAAAAAUCUUAGUACAGUAGAAAGACAUCUGCCUGUAAUUAAACUAGUUUAAGGGUGGAAACAUGCCCACUUUUGCUAGUUAUAAGAUGGAUAUGAUUGGUUCAGUUUUUUUUUCCCCUUUUAACCAGAAUUUUUGUUUGCCAAGCUAAUUUGCCUGGUUUUGUUUAUAUCUUAUUAUUAAUGUUUCCUCUCCAAUUCUGAAAUAUUUUUAGGUGUGGCUAUCUAUACCUGCCUUUUGAGUUUGAAACCAAAUCAUAAACUGUAAAUAUUGGGUUAUGAUUUAAUUACAUCUGUCCCAGCUCCCAAAUUCUGAUUAGACCUUUAUCCAGCUAGUGCCAAAUAUCGAUCAUCAGAUGCUGAAUUGAGAAUAAGAAUUUGAAGUCUACACUCUUGAUUGUUAACUUAGAGCUUUUGGUUAGUGUACAACCUUCAGUUGACACCAGUAUAAUCUCCUAUGCUCAUUAAACUCUGAUUCCAGGAGAUUAGAUUUGCUGAGACUAGAUAUAAAUGGGAUAAAUGUCAUAACAGAGAAGUGAAGGUGAUUUUGCUAAAGGGAGAAAUGUCAGGUAGACAAACUUCAGUGUGCAGAAUUUUUCCCCACUAAAUUCACUGGGAUGUGAGAUUUGGGAAGAAAUUUUUAUUACUUCGGUUUAGCCUUUUUUUCCUCCUUUUUAUGUCAACUAGAAUUUCUGGUGGGUUGCGGGUGGGAUAGGAUGUAUGUGUGUUGUUUCAAAUUGGUCUAAAAGGCCAUCCUGCUGGAAGUCCUGAUUUCCUAUCUAGCAUUUAUUUCUCUGGCAGACUUUUUUGAAAGUAAACUUGUGUUUUGAGUCUUAACUGUAUUUCAGUAUUUUCCAGCCUUACGUGUUACAUUAUUCCAAUGAUACCCAAUGGUUUAUUUUUAUUAUUGUUAUUUUUUUAAACAAAAUUUCACAGUUCUGUAAUGUAGGCAUUUUUAUUUUCAUUGUGAUUUAUAUAUAACGUAGGGUUAUUUGGGAGUGACCGUAAGCGUUUUCCAUCUGUGUGCAUCUGGCUCUGAUUAUUGAUCCCCUUUCUUACCCUUUCCCAGGUAAUUUAAAUCGGUCAUGGUAGAUUUUUUUCCAUAGAUUUGAAAAGAUUUUAGGUUGUUACUAAGUUUAAAGCAUAAAUCUGAGAAAGAGGUUUUAUUUACAUUUUAGUAUGGAGUAGAAAGCCACCUUGAUACAAAUUUCAUUUCCAAAAUAAUCUAUAUUCAAUGAGGGUUUUCUGAUCUAUACUUUGUGUUUAGCUACCUUUUUUAUUUUUAAAACAUGAAAAAUAAUGUUCUGAUAAGCUUAAAGCUUGAUUUGAUCUUUGUUUAAAUGCCAAAAAUGUACUUAAAUAAAUUACUUAGAAUGCCAUAAAAUUGCACAGUUUCAUAUAUGUAUAUAAUCAUGUUUAUGUAUAUUUAGAUACAAUGCUUUCUAAAUGAGUUUUACCCAAAUGAUUUGGCUUGCUGUUUAACUCCCUUUUGUAGUUUUUAAUCUAAGAAAUUUUAAGAUAAGUCUAAAUUUAAAAGUUAUCACAUUUAAAGCUUUAUCUUUGUGCAAUCUAAGUAUAUGUGAGAAAUCACAAUUGGCAUAAUUUGUCUUAGUUGAUAGUCAGGGCUUUAGAAGCCAUUAUUUUUGGGCUUGGUAAGUGAAUUGAUGAGAUGUGCUCUAGAAAGUAUAGAUGGCCAAUGGACCAUUUUGUACUGUUUCCAGGUUACCAGUCUGAUUAUACUGUGUGUGCUAAUAUACUCUAUUCUUUUUGUUAUAGCUUGUCUUAAUGGUAGGCCAAGUAAUAAAAAGAGAUGAAAUAAAAAAAA